rnacentral:rRNA from 2 species
CUCCGGCCCGCAUUGUAAUUUGCAGAGGAUGUUUCUGGCGAGGUGCCUUCCGAGUUCCCUGGAACGGGACGCCAUAGAGGGUGAGAGCCCCGUAUGGAUGGACACCAGACCUAUGUGAAACUCCUUCAACGAGUCGAGUAGUUUGGGAAUGCUGCUCUAAAUGGGAGGUAAAUCUCUUCUAAAGCUAAAUACCGGCCAGAGACCGAUAGCGCACAAGUAGAGUGAUCGAAAGAUGAAAAGCACCUUGAAAAGGGGGUUAAACAGUACGUGAAAUUGUUGAAAGGGAAGCGCUUGUGACCAGACUUGCGCCGGGCAGCUCAUCAGGGGUUCUCCCCUGUGCACUCUGCCCGGCUCAGGCCAGCAUCGGUUCUCGUGGGAGGAUAAGAACGGCAGGAACGUGGCCCCCCUCCGGGGGGGUGUUAUAGCCUGCCGUACGAUACUCCCGUGGGGACCGAGGUUCGCGCUCCGCAAGGAUGCUGGC